rfam:Medicago truncatula strain A17 chromosome 6, whole genome shotgun sequence.
AUACAUUUCCCGGCCUUUUGGCUAAGAUCAAGUGUAAUAUCUGUUCUUAUCAAUUUAAUAUCUGAUAUGUGGUCCAAUAGAUUACACGAUAUUAAAUUAUACUUUUUUGAGGGAGAUAAACCAUUUCAUAGUUUGCUGCUGGACUUCUCAUGUAUCGCUCAUGCGUUGCACUAGUGCAUGAGCCUUGCGCACCCCAC